CCCAUUGACACAGGGCCGGGGCCGCACUACCUGUCAGAUGUUCCUCGGAACUAUGGACAUAAACGGGGAUCACAAUAGCUUUUCUGGACUCGGCUGCGAAGCCGACACCUCCACCAAAUCUUCCCUUCAUUGGGGGCGCAUGGGGGUGAAAUAGGAUCGACAGGAAGUGAAAAGGUCUUACUUUGUCCCGGUGAGCUACCACCGUUAUCGGUGCAAGCAUGAUAGUUGCCAAUGACAACCGUGCUCCGGUGGCGCUGGCUGCGUAAGCAGUUCGCAAAACCAAAACUUAAGUCCUGAGGCCUAGCAGCUUCAGGCGGGGCCCGCAGGAGCCUGGCAACAGAAUCCUGCACC
rnacentral:tmRNA from 3 species